ACCUUUUCUUUAUUAGGUAAAGUUUGAGUCCGCGUAAAAGUGUCUCCUCCAUUAAUACUGAUCAGUUCACCAUCUACAGGCGGAAACGGGGCGGGGAAAACUACUACGUCACUCUUCAACGUGUCUGAGCUGAAACACACGUCAUACUGCUGAGUAGAUUUAGAGUAAGACCAGCUCCCGUCAGGGUGGGUGGUGAUCAUUGGGG